CUAUGGGAAUGCUUUUGGUUGCAGGGGUUUUCUUUUGGCUUCCGCAGAAAACACAUGCUACCGUUAAAAAACACGCUCCAUAGAUGGACAUUGCAGCUGAAAAAAGCAUGCUACUGGUUCGAAUCCACCCGUUGAAAAUAAAACAUGCUACCGUUAAUAAACACGCUCCAUAGAUAAAUAUUGCAGCUGAAAAAAGCAUGACAAAAACACGCUCCUAUUCCUUAACCUAUUAUAUAUAUGGCCAUUGAUUUAGAAGAAUAGCUCAUCCGCAAUGUUCAGUGUUUCCCUGCGUACAUUGAUUCUGAAUGUACUAGCUCUGCGUACUCCUCUGGUUAUUGCUGCUUCAAGGCCAUAGUGAGCAUAGAGAUGAAAUAUUUUAGGGAACUGAAUUUAUGGAUUCUUGGUAUAGGGCUCGAUGCCCUUUCCUGCAAGGGGUGAAUUUGCCAUUUGGUGUGCCCUAUCUGCGGAGGAAUGUUGUCCCACGGAGUGACGCCUCCAACGCCUCAGAGGUCAUCCGCAUCACCAAUCAUGUGCGGAGGAAUGUUGACUGAUUUCGGAAAGGAGAACCAGUAUGUAUAUUAGCUUAUUAUGGUAGCCGUGGACCAACAAAAUUUGCAGAGGUAGAAGAAUGCUCAGCCAAUAUAAGGGAGGGCAGAAACCAUAUUACUGAAGCUUAAAUGGAAGCAUGUUGCACGCAUUGCUGGAGAUGGUGUAGCUCCAGGAAGACAACAAUGAUGUGGAUAAUAUAAAGCAGGCAUUUAGCAAAUGGCUACUUAUGCUAAAAGUGGAGUGAAUUUUAAAAUAAAUUAAAAUUUGUUGUGAACUUGAAUUUAUAUAUAUUUAAUAAUAAUGUUAAUAUACAAAUUUUUUGUUUCAUUCACAUUGAUGUUAACAGUUUGAUUGUUGAAGUCAGAUUCACUUCAGUGACUUGAUGAAUGUUUAGAAAGUUUUGUUUACAUCAGAUUCUGUUUUGUUGGUUUCUUUGUCCAUCAUUCUAUGCUUUUUGUUUUUUUUCUUAGCUUUCAUUCUCUUUUUGUUUGGCAUGGCCAUGCCGCCUCUGUUUUUAUUGUCUGUAAGUUUUACUCUAAUAUGUUUGGUAUGUGUUUUUAUUUUGUAUUUUUAUGUGUAGAUUGUUUUCAAAAAAGUUUUUUUGGUAUUUUGCAUUUGUUUUUUUUCGUGGGUGGUGAUUUUUCAGGCAGCAGUGAUGAUGAUGAUGAGGAGGAGGAGGAGAAAUGAAGCAGAACUACAUAUCACAAGCACCAGGAAAUACAACAGCAGUAUUGAUGAUAAGGAGGAUGAUGAGGAAAUAGCCAAGCAGCUAGCGAAAGCUUUAAAAGUUUGUUUAUCUGAAGUCCCAAAUAAACAGAGAGCAGCAACAUUAGUUAAUGUUUGGAUUUGGUUCAAGCAGUCGAUGUGGCAGAAGCACUUGGCAUUCGUUGAUUACUAUAAUGAUAAAUACCUUUGCCAUGUCUGUAGAAUGAGUGCAAAGUGAUGCCUAGAGUUACUCAAUUGUUAUUGAUGUCAAUGCAGAACAAAUUUUAAUUUUACUAUUGGACUUUUGCAUCAUUUUCUGAAAUCGUUCAAUUUAUUUGUAAAUGGAUAUGUAAAUAGAUUUGUUGUUUAAUAAUUUUUUUGGGGGGAGGGGUUGAAUUUGCCUCCUCCUCAAGGUUGAAGAGAAUGGUCAUUGGUCAUGGCCAUUUUUGUUAGCCUAGUGUUUCUGCAAUGUUUUUUCAUUUUUA